rnacentral:rRNA from 1 species
AUACGGAGGAUGCAAGCGUUAUCCGGAUUUAUUGGGUUUAAAGGGUGCGUAGGCGGGCUAAUAAGUCAGUGGUGAAAACCUACAGCUUAACUGUAGACUUGCCGUUGAUACUGUUAGUCUUGAGUAUGGUCAAGGUAGGCGGAAUGUGUAAUGUAGCGGUGAAAUGCUUAGAUAUUACACAGAACACCAAUUGCGUAGGCAGCUUACUGAGCCGACACUGACGCUGAGGCACGAAAGCGUGGGGAUCGAGCAGGAUUAGAUACCCUGGUAGUCCACGCCGUAAACGAUGAUCACUCGCUGUUAGCGAUACACAGUUAGCGGCUAAGCAAAAGCAUUAAGUGAUCCACCUGGGGAGUACGGCCGCAAGGCUGAA